rnacentral:tRNA from 1 species
GUGGGUGUGGCCUAGUUGGUUAGGGCGCCAGAUUGUGGCUCUGGAGGUCGUGGGUUCAAAUCCCAUCAUCCACC